CUUGAAAUGCUUAACCCUAUUUUCCUUCCUAGGGUUUUUCUUUUUAUGAGGAGAUGGUUCUUUACAUGAUUUUCUUUUCUUUCCUCUCUUCCUCUUUCUCUUAAUUUUUUUUUCUUUUUCUUUUCUCAACCAUGGCUUUUCCUACCUCAUCUUUCUUCUCACUCUCAUUCAAACGUUUUACUUUUAUCUCUUCUAUAAUUCUCUCAACAACAACUUCUUCUAGUUUUGUUUUCUCUUCCAACAUCUCCAGCUCUUCUUCUUCUUUCUUUUCCUCAUUGAGAACCUUAUCAUGUGCAAAGAUAGCUGCUUGACAUUCUUCUUUAGGGUUGACUUCAGUAUCAACCUUAAUAAUACCCAAAGCCUUCAGGGCAUGAGAGUGUUGUUCCUGCAAUGAACGUGCUUG
rnacentral:lncRNA from 1 species